UAACCUGCCUCUUAGCGGGGGAUAACUAUUGGAAACGAUAGCUAAUACCGCAUAAAAGUCGACAUUGCAUGAUGUUGGCUUGAAAGGUGCAAAUGCAUCACUAAGAGAUGGACCUGCGUUGUAUUAGCUAGUUGGUGAGGUAACGGCUCACCAAGGCGACGAUACAUAGCCGACCUGAGAGGGUGAUCGGCCACACUGGGACUGAGACACGGCCCAG
rnacentral:rRNA from 1 species